UAGAUAUCUUUUUCUCCAAUAGCUGGAAGCAAGGGAGAAGAAGUUGAUGCUACAGGAUGUAAUCCACUGAGUAUUGACAACUUCACCUUCUAUUCUAAGCUUGGUCAAGGAAGUUUUGGCAAGGUUAUGUUGGCUACACUAGGUGAGAGGAAGAAAUAUGUGGCUAUGAAGAUCAUAAAGAAAAAACCUGGGUGCCGUUUCAGCAGCAUCGUGACUGAGGCCAGUGUGCUUAAGCUCGCCAGUGCAAGCCCAUUCCUGUGCCAUGGUUACGCUGCAUUUCAAACACAGCGGCAUGCGUUCAUCACUAUGGAGUUCAUCCGUGGGGGCAGCAUUGAAGAUCAUCUGGCAAGAUAUGGACGUCUGGAGAUGAGCAGAGUACUGUAAGUAUUGGAUGGGAUUGUGCUUUAGUUGAAAUGAACUGGCACAGAAAAUGCAUUAUAAUUCUAUUGAGUAAU